rnacentral:rRNA from 1 species
GACGUAGGGCGCAAGCGUUGUCCGGAUUUAUUGGGCGUAAAGAGCUCGUAGGCGGUCUGUUGCGUCGGCUGUGAAAACCCGGGGCUCAACCCCGGGCCUGCAGCCGAUACGGGCAGACUAGAGUUCGGCAGGGGAGACUGGAAUUCCUGGUGUAGCGGUGAAAUGCGCAGAUAUCAGGAGGAACACCGGUGGCGAAGGCGGGUCUCUGGGCCGAUACUGACGCUGAGGAGCGAAAGCGUGGGGAGCGAACAGG